UUCACAUUUUGUUCAUAUGAGAUGUUAUAUUUACCAGUUACUGCAUUAUAUUUACCACUAUUGCAAGAUGUUCGUUUAGGAAUUACUACUGUUUUGUUUAUCUGGAAUGUUGUGUGGGAGUCCAUCUGGAAUUGCUGGUCUGCAGUAAAUUUGUAAGGUGAUGAAGAUCAAUGAAUCAGAAAAUGUUUUGCAUUGGUGGUGAAUGUUCUGACAGUUUUAACAGUCGUGAUGUGUUGCAUUUCACUUCCACGCAUCACGUAGAAGUUGGUGACCUGAUACAAUGAACAUGGAAAAAUCACCUGCGUGCACGCUAUCUUUAUAAUUUUUGAAUAGUUUUGCGUUUAUUGAUGAGUCCGCAAACUCUUAGCGGAUUUCCUCCUUUAGAAACCGCCUGUCGACGAUUUGACAGCCUCACACAAUUAAAGAACGUAUGCCAAAAAGCCAAAGUGAGCUCUUCCGAGCAGAAAAGUGACGGCGUAUCCAUUUAAUUGAAAAUAGUCACAAGACAACGCACAAUUAGCGUCCUUGUCUCAGUGGAGAAAUUUUGCCGUGGAACUUAUAACCGAAAUACCAUUGCAGCUGUUCAAAAAAAGAAAAGUGUAUUAUCAUACAGAUGUUGACUAGCUAACAAUCCAGAGACACGUCAACUUGCAAAAUUUCUAGAUGUGUGUGAAGCGCAAUCAGCAUCCUUGUUGAACUGUGAACC